rnacentral:rRNA from 1 species
UACGAAGGGUGCAAGCGUUGUUCGGAUUUACUGGGCGUAAAGGGCGUGUAGGCGGCUUGUUAAGUUAGGUGUGAAAUCCCAGGGCUCAACCCUGGAACUGCACUUAAGACUGGCAAGCUAGAAUCCCGGAGGGGAGUGUGGAAUUCCAAGUGUAGAGGUGAAAUUCGUAGAUAUUUGGAAGAACACCGGUGGCGAAGGCGACACUCUGGACGGGUAUUGACGCUGAGGCGCGAAAGCGUGGGGAGCAAACAGG